GCAUAUUGCAAAUUGGGAAUAUUUUCUAUGUUUUUGCGCAUGUGCGUUACUCCACCGACACGUAUUAAGCGGUGAAUAUUUCAUUCAUUGGUGCUUGCUUUAAAAACGAACAGGUGUGAUGGCGUCUUGAAAAUUUUCAUGGGCAUAAUAUAGUUACAUAUCGCCGAAUUGCGGAUUUUCGAGUCCAUGAAUAAUCGAUGUUUUGGAGAUUGGUUUGUUAGACCAUUUUAUCCAUUUACCGUUACGGGAUCUGAAUACAUUUGCUUGACAUAACGCACCUGUUCUUCGCAUCACCUAAGCCAGAGCUUUGAUUGCCGAUAACCUCGAGGCAUCUCGUUAAUUAACGAGUUUUAAAAAGCCCUCUUUUUAAUUAAGAGGGUUUUACUUUUCCUGUUUUUUUUGUAUCGCACGUAAUUAUCUCAUGUCAAACUUGUGGUCACGCAUGGUUGGUUUCCCACUGCUGGACCUUAUUGUCAUCCGAUUGUCCACCUAGAGGCCGAUUGUAGCGGUUAUUACCCGAGCUGAGGGCUCCCGGAUAUCCUGAGAUUUGUAACCACGGGGGUGGACAACCGACACGAAGAAUCUUAAGGGGAGCAGGAACACCACGUAGCCGCCACGUUUCCGGAGAACGGCACUCCUAUUGUUAAUCUUAAGCGAAGGGUUACGCUCGCAUCUGGGGCACUUUACCGAUCGGAGGUACAAAGUAAGGGGAUAGGAAUAAUUGGUACAUUGACGGGUCAUACUGCUGUGGAUCCCGUUGAAUUUGUAAGCGCAUGAGUACUCAUACCGCCUUGUUAACUAAGCAACCCCGUACCACGUCAUUAAAGUGUUUAGCUUAUAAUUAAUGCCUAGAACUAUCCAUUUAUGCAACACCGUUUAAUCCAGGCUGCUUGGCCACUGCCGACCUCACUAUAAAAAGGGAAAAGCAAGGGUGGGAAGACCAUUUUGUUUGCGGAUAGACUACUAUUUGGGAAGGGUGGGGCAAUUAACCCACGGGCUUCGCGUCGGUUGCCGCUCACUAAUUUUUGCAUGUGAUAUUACCUGUGGGUUAGUCAUUAGUUGUUAUAUAUAUAUAUCUACUUUAGUAGUUGAUUUUAUACAUAUUUGUUGUUACUUGUUAUACUGUGUGUUGGGGUACCUUAAAUUGAUUCUGUGAUUAUUUGCAUGUGUAAUUGCAAUACUGUUGGUUACAAAUUAUACUAUCACCGUUGAAGUUAC